rnacentral:rRNA from 1 species
AUUGAACGCUGGCGGCAUGCCUUACACAUGCAAGUCGAACGGCAGCAUGAUCUAGCUUGCUAGAUUGAUGGCGAGUGGCGCACGGGUGAGUAAUACAUCGGAACGUGCCCUGUUGUGGGGGAUAACUCGUCGAAAGAUUAGCUCAUACCGCAUACGACCUGAGGGUGAAAGUGGGGGACCGCAAGGCCUCAUGCUCUAGGGACGGCCGAUGUCUGAUUAGCUAGUUGGUGGGGUAAAGGCCCACCAAGGCGACGAUCAGUAGCUGGUCUGAGAGGAUGAUCAGCCACACUGGAACUGAGACACGGCCCAGACUCCUACGGGAGGCAGCAGUGGGGAAUAUUGGACAAUGGGGGCAACCCUGAUCCAGCAAUGCCGCGUGUGUGAAGAAGGCCUUCGGGUUGUAAAGCACUUUUGUCCGGAAAGAAAACGCACUUACUAAUAUUAGGUGGGGAUGACGGUACCGGAAGAAUAAGCACCGGCUAACUACGUG